rnacentral:rRNA from 1 species
UGGGAAUUUUGGACAAUGGGCGAAGCCUGAUCCAGCAAUGCCGCGUGUGUGAAGAAGGCCUUCGGGUUGUAAAGCACUUUUGUCCGGAAAGAAAUCCUUGGCUCUAAUACAGUCGGGGGAUGACGGUACCGGAAGAAUAAGCACCGGCUAACUACGUGCCAGCAGCCGCGGUAAUACGUAGGGUGCAAGCGUUAAUCGGAAUUACUGGGCGUAAAGCGUGCGCAGGCGGUUUGCUAAGACCGAUGUGAAAUCCCCGGGCUCAACCUGGGAACUGCAUUGGUGACUGGCAGGCUAGAGUAUGGCAGAGGGGGGUAGAAUUCCACGUGUAGCAGUGAAAUGCGUAGAGAUGUGGAGGAAUACCGAUGGCGAAGGCAGCCCCUGGGCAAUACUGACGCUCAUGCACGAAAGCGUGGGGAGC